rnacentral:rRNA from 1 species
AGCAGCCGCGGUAAUUCCAGCUCCAAUAGCGUAUAUUAAAGUUGUUGCAGUUAAAAAGCUCGUAGUUGAAUUUCGGAAUCAAUAUAUCGGUCGUGCCUCUGGUACGCACUUAUUUAUUGAUUUCUCACUUCUGACGAAUCAUAAUGUCAUUAGUUUGGUGUUAUGAGGAAUCAGGACUGUUACUUUGAAAAAUUAGAGUGUUUAAAGCAGGCUCGCGCUUGAAUACAUUAGCAUGGAAUAAUGAAAUAGGAUGUUUGAUCUUAUUUUGUUGGUUUCUAGGAUCGACAUAAUGAUUAAUAGGGAUAGUUGGGGGCAUUAGUAUUCAAUUGUCAGAGGUGAAAUUCUUGGAUUUAUUGAAGACUAACUACUGCGAAAGCAUUUGCCAAGGAUGUUUUCAUUAAUCAAGAACGAAAGUUAGGGGAUCGAAGACGAUCAGAUACCGUCGUAGUC